CUAUGCAUUUCUCCACUGUUCGUUCUUUUGAAAAAUGAAGGGCAUGGCUCUUUGAGGGUGCCUUUCAUUUCAGGGUCCCAUGUGAAGCUAUUCUGUCGUAUUUUAAAGCAGUUGCAAUAGCAAUCUAGAAUGUGUUUUAUCAAUGCGUCAAGAGGUGAAUAAUCAACGCUGUAGUUCAGUGAUACUCACCCUUUCUAAGUGGUCUUUGGCGUCUCGCUGGAUGCUUUUUGCAAAAAAUGCGGAUGCAAUUGUUUCGUAGCUAGUUUUCUCAACUGGAAACUGAGAAAUGCUGUUGACAGUCCAUAUUCUAGGAACUUGUCAUUCAGCUUGGGAUUUUCAGCAUUUAUUUUCAUGCAUUACUUCAAGUUAGAAUGUAACUUAAAGGCAUUAAAAAGUUAGAAGAAUAAACCAGGGGAAAACCCGUGUUCUUGCAUCUGUAAUUCUGCAUUCUAAUGUCUUGCUAAAAUGCUCUUUUGUGUAUGUCUGUUUGUGUGUAUGAAAAGAGGGGAGCAUUGAUGAUGUUAGCUGGGAAUUCACAGUCCCUUUGUAAAAUACUGCCUGAGAAUCUCACUUACUCCUUUUGUAUGUUUGCCUAGCUUUCCAAGUUAAACAUUGUUCCACUGAGCUCUUUUUCUCUGCAAUUGUAUUUUAACGUGUGUGUGUGUGUGCACUGUGUGGUAGUUCAGUUAUGCUCUGGAGUGUGUUGAAAAUGCCAGCCUGACAUAUUGCUAAUGAGUGUGCAUAUUGACAGUGACGGGGGCGUGUGUCUGUCUGUGUGCCAUAUAUUAAAACAAAAAGAGGAGAGAGACGGAGACACAGAGAGACAGAGAGACAGAGAAGGAAAUAUUGGGAUGGGAAAGAACAGUUUGUUUACAUUACGUGAGAUGUGAUUGCAGACAGCGCGCGGCCGGGCUGUGGUGGAACUGGCCAGUGGCAACCUGCCUUUGCGGUGCUGGCUCCCGCCGGAGCAGCCGUGCCACGGGGAUGCUGAGCUUGGGAGCAGUGCCUGCCAGGAGCCUUCGCGUGCAGGAAUGCCGGCAGGAGAGCAUGGAGCGUCAGCGAGGUAAGCGGCGCAAGCCACUGUGGAUGUGCUCGAUCCGCGAGCGGAGACCCCGGGCCGGGUGUCACAGGUGAGGGUCCCUGCCCAGCCUCGCGGGACGGCGUGCCGGAGAUGGGUUGCUCACCUGUGCGAGCCGUGGCAGAAUUAGAAACUGAGUUGCAUCCAUGUUCUUUGAGAUGCAUUUUUCUUCUCCCCGACCCUUAAACGUCAGAUGUACAAGCUUGCAGAACUGUACUUUUGACUGACAGAGCGCUUCCUCCAGCACAGGCUGAAUGCAGGUGUGUGAAUUGCUGCGCUGCUUCAGGGAUAUGAUUCCCAUCCUUCCUGCAAGGGUGAACAAGCUGCUGCUUAGGCUGUAGCCAGUAUGUCUUGCUGGAUGGGUAGGAUCAGGGCAUGAUCGUAGUAGAUGUCUAAAACCUGUGGGAUUACUUUGCACGUGUAAAGUCUUGCAGGUGGUUGUCAGAGUUGCUGUGGCUAUGCUACUGAACAGCACUUUAAAAAAAUCUAGAAAGUUAAUUUCCAAUAGAUCUUAUACUGCUUCACAUUACAGUUUGUAUCUGGGUGUGCAAACUUUAUUACUUAAUAUUGAAUUGGAAAGACCUCAGUAAUAUGCUUGCUGAAUUUUUUAUAAAUCUUUCAUUAAAAGUUAAACACUUAGGAAUUCCUCCCAGAGUAUUGGCCUGACUCUUUAUUUUUGUUUAGCAGAAAAAAUUAAUAUCAGGGCAGUGAUUUGUUUUAUAAUGAAUUACACUUAACUUCCGCAGGGUAAGAGAUCAGGGUGUUGUUAUAAAGCAGCAUACUGUCAAAAAAUCCUUCUGGAGGACUACAAUGACUCUCUGAGGACUUAAAUUUACACUGACUCCAUCCGUUAUAAAUGGAUCCAGUUCACAUAUUUUUGUUGCCUUGUUAGGAAAUUAUAUUUUUGUUAAAAGCACCAAAAUAAUGGUAAACUAGAAGUAGUUUUGUUAUUUGGGGUUGGUUUAACUUGUGUGAACAAGUCCUUCAAGGAUUACUGUCUCCUUUCUUCACCUGCCAGUCCUGAAGAGGGAGGCAAGAGAGUCAGGUCUGCCCCCA
rnacentral:lncRNA from 1 species